rnacentral:rRNA from 1 species
GAUGAACGCUGGCGGCGUGCCUAAUACAUGCAAGUCGAGCGAACGGACGAGAAGCUUGCUUCUCUGAUGUUAGCGGCGGACGGGUGAGUAACACGUGGAUAACCUACCUAUAAGACUGGGAUAACUUCGGGAAACCGGAGCUAAUACCGGAUGAUAUUUUGAACCGCAUGGUUCAAAAGUGAAAGACGGUCUUGCUGUCACUUAUAGAUGGAUCCGCGCUGCAUUAGCUAGUUGGUAAGGUAACGGCUUACCAAGGCAACGAUGCAUAGCCGACCUGAGAGGGUGAUCGGCCACACUGGAACUGAGACACGGUCCAGACUCCUACGGGAGGCAGCAGUAGGGAAUCUUCCGCAAUGGGCGAAAGCCUGACGGAGCAACGCCGCGUGAGUGAUGAAGGUCUUCGGAUCGUAAAACUCUGUUAUUAGGGAGGAGCAUAUGUGUAAGUAACUGUGCACAUCUUGACGGUACCUAAUCAGAAAGCCACGGCUAACUACGUG